CAAAUCUAUCCUCUCCCUACCAGCACCGCCUAAGACCAGAAGUGCAUGGCUAUGGAGAUGACGACCACCGGAGAUGUUGAAGUCGAGUUCUUGUCAGAUCCGGUCGACAGAUUUCCCCUGCCGGAUAUCGGCGGCGGAGAGCCCUUGGUCGCCUACGACCCAUGCCAGUCGAUGUUGUGUGCUCCUGCUGAGUCCAGCAUUGGUGAGGCCGGCGACGCUCCGGUGAAUGCCCAAUUAGAGUUGGACAUCACUUGCGAGGGAGUUGCCCUGACGGCACCAGCCUCGGAGCAAUCUGCAGGCAGAGACAAGCCGGAAGCCCCAGCCUGGACGAAGAGGAUCCGUGUCAGUCGUUCACCUACUGAACGACCGCCUUGUGCUGCCAGGAUGAGUGCUUUGGAAGCAACAUUAUGCAGAUAUGCAGGAAAAAAAACUGACACUAUCAUACUUCCUGUUGUGGGAAGCAACUUUGAUUCACUGGGAGAAGCCUACGAUUAGUACAAUCUCUAUUCUUGGGAGAUUGGGUUUGGAGUAAGAUAUGGAAAGAGCAGGCUAAAUGUCGAAAGAACAAAAUGUAUGCAAGAGAUAGUUUGUGGCUGCUAUGGAAUCCCAAAGAAGAGCAACACACGGACUUGUCGAUGCAGAUGCCCCGCAAUGAUAAGAUUGCUUCGAUCAAGCGAUAAUGGGUGGUACAUAAAUAAGUACAGGCCAGACCACAACCAUGCACAGACUGAAAAAUAUGGUGAGAAGGUAUACUGGCCAUGCUGUCUGCAGAACCGUGGACAAACAAUCGAAUCAUUUGUUUGGGUCCAUAACUCCGGCAGACAGCAUGGCCAGUCAUCUCCAGGCCGUAAGGAACCAGGGUAUGAGUAAGAGCCAAGAUAAUUUGAGAGGAGAUUUGAUACUUGAUGGCAAACACUGGAAAAAUAGCUUUUGAUGAAAUCUAAUGGUGAUAUGAAAAGGGAUAGUGCAGCACCUUUCAUGGUCAGUUUUGCCGCAUUUUAUCAUAGUCUUGUAGCAGUUGUGGACAUCGGAAGAAGAUGGUUUGUCUAUUGUUAUCGUCUGAAAUCUUGGAACCACAAUGUCCGGCUCUAACUUCGGUGCAGAUGGUAUGGUAAUAUUUCCCAUGUCUUGCCAGUUGCUAGGACCAGCUCCAACAGAAGACAGCAGUUUUUUGACAGUCGUCUCAUACGUAACGCAUUGUGAAAAUAUGAAAGAGGUACAUGGUAAUGGCUGAAGAUAUUUGAGGCCAAGUGGACGUUUGGUUGAUCGAGCUUACCAUCGCUGAUCAGGUAUGGAGGAAUAUGAGAUGCACUUGGAGCAGGAGCGCAUACAGUUCCUUGUGAUGCUGUGUUUGGAGAAGGACAUGCGAUGCUGGGAACUCCAAGUGCGCAAGUUCAUUUUAUUAUAGAUGAGGUGCAACUGAACUUUACUAAAUCCGGGUAUUACACGACACAUGAAUUCGAAUUCAGGGCCCAAAGGUGUGCUACAAUUACAGAUGGAAGUUAAUUUUACACAAAUUUUGGAAAGUUGAUUUAAGUAUGGAAUCUGUGGAAAUAUACUCUAAUGCCGAAGAUACAUUUGUUUGGAUGUAAAUGCAUGAAAGUAUCUAUUACAUGGUUGGUUAAACGGCGUGAUUAUGGUUGUUUUUCAUAUAAAGAGAGCAAAUCCAGUUGCCGGGGAAAUGGUGACGCGUGGCGUGCGUGUAUAGUUUUUAUGACCAUGUGGUUGACUUGCAGAGUAUAUGUGAACUUCAAGUUUGGGCAAUCAUGUUUUUUCAAGUGUGGUGCAGUACAGCUAUCAGUUUCACAUGAGCAUGGAGGGUGAAUUGAGCACACUACUGAGGGAGUAACUUCGUGCCGAGACAGUGUAUGAACAAGAGCUGCUUGGACGAUAGCGCCAUCUCCAGUUGUGGGCACCACAGUUUCAGCAGAAACAUUAGUAUACCCGACAGCUGUAUAGGCAGACAGUCAAAUUUUUGCGGCAUUAGCUGAAUGCUCCAUUGGGGACCAUGAUUUUCCCUUUUUUUGUAAAGUGUAGAUGAGAUUCAAGUGUUACCUUGUGUCAAGAGGUCAAUACGUUCGUUUGAGCUGCACAGAGCUGCAGCUGGACUUGAAUCCCAAA